AGGAUGAACGCUGGCGGUCUGCUUAACACAUGCAAGUCGAACGGAGUAGCAAUACUUAGUGGCGGACGGGUGAGUAACGCGUGAGAAUCUACCUUCAGGACGGAGACAACAGUUGGAAACGACUGCUAACCCCCGAUGUACUGAAAAGGCAAAUAUUUAUAGCCUGAAGAAGAGCUCGCGUCCGAUUAGCUAGUUGGAGAGGUAAAAGCUCACCAAGGCGACGAUCGGUAGCUGGUCUGAGAGGACGAUCAGCCACACUGGGACUGAGACACGGCCCAGACUCCUACGGGAGGCAGCAGUGGGGAAUUUUCCGCAAUGGGCGAAAGCCUGACGGAGCAAGACCGCGUGGGGAAGAAGGCUCUUGGGUUGUAAACCCCUUUUUCUCUGGGAAGAACACAAUGACGGUACCAGAGGAUCAGCAUCGGCUAACUCCGUGUCAGCAGCCGC
rnacentral:rRNA from 1 species